rnacentral:tRNA from 1 species
AGAAAAGUAAGCUAAUAAAGCUAAUGGGUUCAUACCCCAUAAAUAGAGUAAACCUCUCUUCUCUA